CAUCACUAUUUUCUCCUCUUCUUUUAUUUUCUCCCUCCUUCCCCGUUUCCCUACAAUUGUUCCAUAACAUCCUACAUCAAUUUAGUACGAGACCCUAACACCCUACUCAGCCUAAACUCUGCAACACGCACAUCACUAGCCCACUCAACCCCAAACAUUACCCAAGUCCACAACCAAUUUUAUACAAGGGUGCCAUAAAAUUGAUUAAUGCACUUAGCCUUUUAAUAUUUCUUUCAUCACGUAUUAAUUGCGAUAUUAAUGUUUAGCUAUAAAAAGAAAAAUAUUUUAGCUUUCAUUUCAAAACCGUCCUCUUUCAAGAAUCAAGAUCUCCUCUCAAUGUCCCAAUUCCUCCUUUCUCAUUGCCUUAACCUUCCUCAAACUCCCCUCCACACUAAUACUUCAAAUCCUUGGAAUCGCACCUCACUCCCAAAAAAUACGAUUAUAUAGUUAAUUGUCAAAAUUGUGUGAAUUAUUUUUGAAACUAUGGCGCAAAAAAAGAGAAAUCAAAGACGGAAUUCAAGGUUAAUGACUCCCAAAUUGGAGGAAAUUAAUGAAUCCCCCUUGUAUCCCUGCUCAAGCUCUCAAGUGGAGUAAUCAUUCAUUCCUAAAAUUUUGUUCUCAAAGCUAUCGUGCGCUGAUGGAGAAAUAUCUGUACAAUUCGUCUUACCCGGAGUCCAGCGGCUCCUCGCCGUGCUUCCUUGAAAUUGAGUUCGAGAAUCCGCGACCGUGGGAGGAUUCACACAACAAUCAGCUUCCCCCAAAUUAUAAAGUGAAGUUCAAGUGCAGCUAUGGCGGCAAAAUCUGUUGAUCGAAGUCAUUUCUUGUCAAUUUCAACUUGGGAAAAUCAGGAAUAAAAAAGGGAGUGUUGAGAGAAACUGUUCCUGCAUGUGGUAUCAGAGAUUAUGCAGGUAACAGACUGAUCAAGAUUUUGAAUGGUAUCUUCAAAAUCCUGCUGCAUUAGUUUUGUAGAAUUGGCAAAAGGGACAAAAAAGCCAUGGAUGGCAAUUUAUCAGUGCUUUCAACACCUGGAGGGACACCAUUUGUUUCUUGUGAAAAUGGGAGUUCAACAAUUUUAAUAUCAGAAUCACGGAGGGAAUCUCAGAUCUUAACCGUUGAUUGAAAUAUUAGAUUCAGUUCUCUAGGAUGUCAACUCACAGAUUGUUGACGAGGCAAAGACGGAAGAUGCAUGGGAUGAAGAAGCACAACAUGUAAACGAUUUUGGAAAAUAUUUGAUAUAGAUGAUUUCGGAAAUGAUAUUAGUUUAUUAACAGUUAUGAGUGUUUAUACAAUUUUUUGACAUUCACAUCUUAGUUUAGCCAUCAAUUUUCAUUAGUUGUGAGCGUAUAGGAAACUUGGUUGUAUUUAAAUUUCUGGAUUAUGCUUAUAUUGCUGAAGUUGUUAGUUUAAAAGCUUUUAAUUUGUGGGUUAUGAUUUGUCAAUUUUUUUUUUGGAGUUUGUG
rnacentral:lncRNA from 1 species